rnacentral:rRNA from 1 species
AGUCACUGACAUUAGAUACCCGGGUAGUCCCAGCCGUAAACAAUGUGCGUUAGGUGUGUCGGUAACCACGCGUUACUGAUGCGCCGAAGAGAAAUCGUGAAACGCACCACCUGGGAAGUACGGUCGCAAGGCUGAAACUUAAAGGAAUUGGCGGGGGAGCACCACAACAGGUGGAGCCUGCGGUUUAAUUGGACUCAACGCCGGGAAGCUCACCGGAUAGGACAGCAGAAUGAUUGCCGGGCUGAAGACCCUGCAUGACUAGCUG